rnacentral:lncRNA from 1 species
AAACAUUUCCAUUUCUAAAAGUAAAAAAUAAUUGAAAGAAAGAGAACACAAAAUUGUUUGCAAAAGCUGUCCUUUAUUGAUGAUGAAAAUAAUUGUGAAAUGCGACUAAAUGGAUGGCCCUACACAUGAGUCAUUACACCUUGGGCAAAGUGUAAGACUUUAUUAUGCAUAUAAUAAAAGGAAAACAAUAAAAAUUACUCUUUCAGUAGAGUAACCCGGACGACUUUUUUAGACGACCAAUUGUUG